GCCUGGGUGGCACAGUUGGUUGAGCAUCUGACUUUGGCUCAGGUCAUGAUCUCACUGUCUGUGAGUUUGAGCCCCACAUCAGGCG
rnacentral:tRNA from 1 species